UCUAGAACGAAGUUGGCAGUUUGGUCCCUCAAUGCCGUAUAAUACAUCCCAUGCUGCGUCAGCGGUGCACAACAGUGAUCUCUACGUGUUUGGUGGAUAUACAAAACCAGUUUGUGGAUAUAAACCUCAGGUUCAGGUGUUCAGUCAUAGAAAGUAAGUAUUUUUUUUUGGUAACAAUCAAAUCUUAAAUAAUGUCAUCCUGAGUAAUUCGAAAUAAAAACAAAA